rnacentral:siRNA from 1 species
GCAUCGGUGCUAUGUAUCAUUAGC